GGCAAAAAUUAAAAUCAAUUCAAAAUUCUCAGCCAAAAUUUCAAGUUCCUUGUUCAAAUUUUCCAUAAUCAAAGCCAUUGUUAUCAAGGAUUUAAGCAGAUUUUCGAGUUAGGUUUAUUAUUAAAGCAGAUUUCGUGGAGAAAAGAAUCAAAGCCAUUGUUAUCAAGGAUUCAAGCAGAUUUUAGAGCUAGGUUCAUUAUUAAAGCAGAUUUUGUGGUGGAAAGAUUUUUGAAUUGUUGGCAAAAAAAAACAGUGUAUUUUUAUGCAAUGGCUGAUUCAGUCAGAAUUACUAGAGGAUCUGCGGCGAGAAUGGCACAAGAGUAUGAAAUGGCAAUUAAUAGCUCUUCAAAAAAAAGGAAAGUGUCGUGCUAUAAAACAAAUGUUGAUCAACAAAAAUAUCCAAGUGAUGAAGUAUUACGUCAUGAAGAUGAAGAGGUAAUAAAUUAUUAACGAAACUAAUUUUUAU